rnacentral:rRNA from 1 species
UACGUAGGGCGCAAGCGUUGUCCGGAUUUAUUGGGCGUAAAGAGCUCGUAGGUGGCUUGUCGCGUCUGCUGUGAAAGCCCAUGGCUUAACUGCGGGUCUGCGGUGGAUACGGGCUGGCUAGAGGUAGGUAGGGGCAAGCGGAAUUCCUGGUGUAGCGGUGAAAUGCGCAGAUAUCAGGAGGAACACCGGUGGCGAAGGCGGCUUGCUGGGCCUUACCUGACGCUGAGGAGCGAAAGCGUGGGGAGCGAACAGG